rnacentral:rRNA from 1 species
AGUCGAGGGGCAGCAUGGUCUUAGCUUGCUAAGGCCGAUGGCGACCGGCGCACGGGUGAGUAACACGUAUCCAACCUGCCGUCUACUCUUGGACAGCCUUCUGAAAGGAAGAUUAAUACAAGAUGGCAUCAUGAGUCCGCAUGUUCACAUGAUUAAAGGUAUUCCGGUAGACGAUGGGGAUGCGUUCCAUUAGAUAGUAGGCGGGGUAACGGCCCACCUAGUCUUCGAUGGAUAGGGGUUCUGAGAGGAAGGUCCCCCACAUUGGAACUGAGACACGGUCCAAACUCCUACGGGAGGCAGCAGUGAGGAAUAUUGGUCAAUGGGCGAGAGCCUGAACCAGCCAAGUAGCGUGAAGGAUGACUGCCCUAUGGGUUGUAAACUUCUUUUAUAAAGGAAUAAAGUCGGGUAUGGAUACCCGUUUGCAUGUACUUUAUGAAUAAGGAUCGGCUAACUCCGUGCCAGCAGCCGCGGUAAUACGGAGGAUCCGAGCGUUAUCCGGAUUUAUUGGGUUUAAAGGGAGCGUAGAUGGAUGUUUAAGUCAGUUGUGAAAGUUUGCGGCUCAACCGUAAAAUUGCAGUUGAUACUGGAUAUCUUGAGUGCAGUUGAGGCAGGCGGAAUUCGUGGUGUAGCGGUGAAAUGCUUAGAUAUCACGAAGAACUCCGAUUGCGAAGGCAGCCUGCUAAGCUGCAACUGACAUUGAGGCUCGAAAGUGUGGGUAUCAAACAGGAUUAGAUACCCUGGUAGUCCACACGGUAAACGAUGAAUACUCGCUGUUUGCGAUAUACUGCAAGCGGCCAAGCGAAAGCGUUAAGUAUUCCACCUGGGGAGUA